rnacentral:rRNA from 1 species
GUAAGGUCCUUCGGGAUACACGAGAGGCGGACGGCUGAGUAACGCAUGGGAACGCACCCUACACUGAGGGAUAAGAUGCCGAAAGGUGUUCUAAUACCGCAUGUGGUCUUCGGAUUAAAGUAUUUAUACGGUGAAGGAGCGGCCUGUGUCAUAUUAGGUAGUUGGUGAGGUAAUGGCUCACCAAGCCAACGAUGUGUAGCUGGUCUGAGAGGAUGAUCAGCCAGACUGGAACUGAGAACGGUCCAGACUCC